AUCUCCCUUUGUUAUGGAAUCCGUUCCAUGUCGGACAUUCACUGAAACAAAAUUCUGAGCCAACCACGGCGUAAGGUGAACUCUUUACAUGUGUAUAAACAUCUACCUUAUUGUUUUAUAUAUCAGCACAAAGAUGUGACUUUGUUUGUUUACCUGUGUUUAUAUUUUUCGAUGCGUAUCUUCAAGAAUAUGUGCGUUGACCCACAACACAAAGAAACUUUAUUUGAACGCUUACAAACUAUACAAACAGUUGUUUUUUAUUAUAAUAUACAC
rnacentral:lncRNA from 1 species